UGGGGAAUAUUGGGGCAAUGGGCGCAAGCCUGACCCAGCAACGCCGCGUGAAGGAAGAAGGCUUUCGGGUUGUAAACUUCUUUUAUUGGGGACGAAACAAAUGACGGUACCCAUUGAAUAAGCUCCGGCUAACUACGUGCCAGCAGCCGCGGUAAUACGUAGGGAGCAAGCGUUAUCCGGAUUUACUGGGUGUAAAGGGCGUGUAGGCGGGAGUGCAAGUCAGAUGUGAAACUAUGGGCUCAACCCAUAGCCUGCAUUUGAAACUGUACUUCUUGAGUACUGGAGAGGCAGGCGGAAUUCCGUGUGUAGCGGUGAAAUGCGUAGAUAUACGGAGGAACACCAGUGGCGAAGGCGGCCUGCUGGACAGCAACUGACGCUGAGGCGCGAAAGCGUGGGGAGCAAACAGGAUUAGAUA
rnacentral:rRNA from 1 species